rnacentral:tRNA from 1 species
GGAGAGGUGCCGGAGUGGUUGAACGGGACGGUCUCGAAAACCGUUGUAUCGCUAUGCGGUACCGUGGGUUCGAAUCCCACCCUCUCCGCCA